rnacentral:rRNA from 1 species
GAUGAACGCUGGCGGCGUGCCUAAUACAUGCAAGUCGAGCGAACGGACGAGAAGCUUGCUUCUCUGAUGUUAGCGGCGGACGGGUGAGUAACAUGUGGAUAACCUACCUAUAAGACUGGGAUAACUUCGGGAAACCGGAGCUAAUACCGGAUGAUAUUUUGAACCGCAUGGUUCAAAAGUGAAAGACGGUCUUGCUGUCACUUAUAGAUGGAUCAGCGUUGCAUUAGCUAGUUGGUAAGGUAACGACUUACCAAGGCAACGAUGCAUAGCCGACCUGAGAGGGUGAUCGGCCACACUGGAACUGAGACACGGUCCAGACUCCUACGGGAGGCAGCAGUAGGGAAUCUUCCGCAAUGGGCGAAAGCCUGACGGAGCAACGCCGCGUGAGUGAUGAAGGUCUUCGGAUCGUAAAACUCUGUCAUUAGGAAAGAACAAAUGUGUAAGUAACUGUGCAGAUCUUGACGGUACCUAAAGAGAAAGCCACGGCUAACUACGUG